ACGGGAGGCAGCAGUGGGGAAUAUUGGGCAAUGGGCGCAAGCCUGACCCAGCAACGCCGCGUGAAGGAUGAAGGUCUUUGGAUUGUAAACUUCUUUAAUCGGGGAAGAAAAAAAUGACCUACCCGAAGAGUAAGCCACGGCUAACUACGUGCCAGCAGCCGCGGUAAUACGUAGGUGGCAAGCGUUAUCCGGAUUUACUGGGUGUAAAGGGCGUGUAGGCUGCUCUGUAAGUCAGAAGUGAAAUUCCCGAGCUCAACUUUGGCGCUGCUUCUGAAACUACAGAACUUGAGUACUGGAGGGGAAAGCGGAAUUCCUAGUGUAGCGGUGAAAUGCGCAGAUAUUAGGAGGAACACCGGUGGCGAAGGCGGCUUUCUGGACAGUAACUGACGCUUAGGCGCGAAAGCGUGGGGAGCAAACAGGAUUAGAUACCCUGGUA
rnacentral:rRNA from 1 species